CGGGGUGCACCAGGCGCGAAAACUUUACAAUGCCGGCAACGGCGAUAAGGGAACCUCGAGUGCCAGGUUACAAAUCUGGCUGUCGUGAUGCCUAAAAAGCAUUGCAUAGCAAGGGCCGGGCAAGACUGGUGCCAGCCGCCGCGGUAACACCGGCGGCUCGAGUGGUAACCGUUAUUAUUGGGUCUAAAGGGUCUGUAGCCGGCCGGGUAAGUCUCUUGGGAAAUCUGGCAGCUUAACUGUCAGGCUUUCAGGAGAUACUGCCUGGCUCGAGGCCGGGAGAGGUGAGAGGUACUUCAGGGGUAGGGGUGAAAUCUUGUAAUCCUUGAAGGACCACCAGUGGCGAAGGCGUCUCACCAGAACGGACCUGACGGCAAGGGACGAAAGCUAGGGGCACGAACCGGAUUAGAUACCCGGGUAGUCCUAGCCGUAAACGAUACUCGCUAGGUGUCGGCCACGGUGCGACCGUGGUCGGUGCCGUAGGGAAGCCGUGAAGCGAGCCACCUGGGAAGUACGGCCGCAAGGCUGAAACUUAA
rnacentral:rRNA from 1 species